GUUGAAACACUGGUACCUGUACAAUCACCAAAGUUAAGCAAUGCCGAGCCUGAUCAGUACUUAGAUGGGUAACCGCCUGCGAAUACCAGGUGCUGUAA